rnacentral:rRNA from 1 species
AGCGAACGCUGGCGGCAGGCCUAACACAUGCAAGUCGAACGGAUCCUUCGGGAUUAGUGGCGGACGGGUGAGUAACACGUGGGAACGUGCCCUUUGGUUCGGAACAACUCAGGGAAACUUGAGCUAAUACCGGAUGUGCCCUUCGGGGGAAAGAUUUAUCGCCAUUGGAGCGGCCCGCGUCUGAUUAGCUAGUUGGUUAGGUAAAGGCUCACCAAGGCGACGAUCAGUAGCUGGUCUGAGAGGAUGAUCAGCCACAUUGGGACUGAGACACGGACCAAACUCCUACGGGAGGCAGCAGUGGGGAAUUUUGCGCAAUGGGCGAAAGCCUGACGCAGCCAUGCCGCGUGAAUGAUGAAGGUCUUAGGAUUGUAAAAUUCUUUCACCGGGGACGAUAAUGACGGUACCCGGAGAAGAGGCCCCGGCUAACUUCGUGCCAGCCGCCGCUGUAA